AGAGUUGCUCAGAUGAUCGCAUGGGACGCUAACCCGUUUUCAAAAAACAGCAGUUCAUAUUUUGGAUUUGUUAUGUUUCUGAAACAGCGUUGCGACUCAUGAGGAAAGUCCGGGCUCCAUAGGAUACAAUGAUGGAUAACGUCCAUCGAUCGUGAGAUCAGGGAAAGCGCAACAGAAAGUAAACCGCCUGUUUUAACUUUUUGGUCUUUUUCUUUUUUCAUUAACGUUCAUUUUUAUUGAAUGUUUUUUGAAAGAGAGAGAAAAAAGUGAAAAAUCGUUAAAAUCGGUAAGGGUGAAACGGCGAGGUAAGAGCUCGCCAGCGAAGCAAGCGAUUGUUUCGGCUAGGCAAGCCCCAUUGGGAGCAAGGUUAAAUCGAAACGGUUUAUUCAUAAAAGACUAUUUUGAAUUGAUCAGACGAAUAAAAUUCAAGGCUGAUUAACAAUAAUCUGAAUAAACAGGAAUGAUCCGUUCCUUAUGUUUCAGGUAAACCGCUUGAACGUUUAGGCAACUGAACGUCUAGAUAAAUGAUCAUCGCUGAAUAACAAAAAUGAUUUUUUGUUUUCAGUACAAAACCCGGCUUAUGAACAACUCUUCUU
rnacentral:RNase_P_RNA from 1 species